ensembl:misc_RNA Metazoa_SRP Metazoan signal recognition particle RNA
GCCGGGUGUGGUGGCUCACACCUGUAAUCCAAGGACUUUGGAGGCCAAGGUGGGCAGAUCACCUGAGGUCGGGAGUUCAAGACCAGCCUGACCAAUAUGGUGAAACCCCAUCUUUA